rnacentral:rRNA from 1 species
GUCUACAGCCAUACCACACUGAAUGCGCCCAAUCUCAUCAUAUCUUGGAAGCUAAGCAUGGUCGGGCCUAGUCAGUACUUGAAUGGGAGAGUUGCUACUGAAAUCUAGUAGGUGGAGGCC